UACGUAGGGUCCAAGCGUUAAUCGGAAUUACUGGGCGUAAAGCGUGCGCAGGUGGUUGGAUAAGACCGACGUGAAAUCCCCGAGCUCAACUUGGGAAUUGCGUUGGUGACUGUCCGGCUAGAGUAUAGCAGAGGGGGGUAGAAUUCCACGUGUAGCAGUGAAAUGCGUAGAGAUGUGGAGGAAUACCGAUGGCGAAGGCAGCCCCCUGGGCAGAUACUGACACUCAUGCACGAAAGCGUGGGGAGCAAACAGG
rnacentral:rRNA from 1 species